GGAGCUGUGACAAGUAUUAUUGAAACUAGAGUCACCUCAUUGAUCGCCAGGGUUGAUUCGAUUGAUCUGGCUGUCAAGGUGGGUGUCCCCUUCCUCCCUCACUGCUCCAUGUGCAUCCCUCCCACAGCUGCGUGCUCGGUCGAAGAGGACGACCUUCCCCGGUACAGGUGGGUACCGUUCAUCAGUCAUGGGUAUAUGGUAGCUGCGGUCCCCAGCUAGAACCUCCAGACAAGCUCAAGGUCCAGUUGUAGGGGAAUGUAGGGUAGUCAAGCUUCCAAGAGAGCGAACACAUCCAAGUGAGGCGUUGCACGUGGCAGUCUGCUAUUAUUU
rnacentral:snRNA from 14 species